UCUUAUCCUUCUAUCCCUCCUCUAGCAGUGUGCCCUAUGGUGUUAUUUCGUGGAACUAUGACGUUAUCGCCCUCUGGUGUUUCAUUGUGCACGUCAUCAUAUCUACCUCUCCCCUUUAUCGCUUGAGGCAGCCAAUCAACGUGCAGUGUCUGAAGAAAACUGAUGACCGCUUCACGCUGGAUUCGAGAGUUUGUAACUACCCACGAUGACUAUCAGCACAAUUCCUUCGUUACAGAUAAAAUUAAUUACGACUUGUUACUCACUAUAGAUAAAAUUCAAAGAAAGCAGAUUUCUUGCUCUCAACUCCUGGGUGAAUAAAGAUUAAAACAAAUGAGCAUUUUCAUAGAAACUACUAGAUAUGUACGUCUGUUGUUGUUGCAUGUGAUAUAAUCCAAUCAAUGUCAGCUAUACCAAACUUGUAAGUAAGCAAUAUCUAAUAAGUGCUAGACUGAAGUAAAAAUUAACCUAACAGUAAUAAAGUGAAUAAAUUAUCUAAAGCAAAAUUUUUUGUAAAGUAACUAAAAUGUGACUACUUUGUUUUCAAUUGGUAUUUCAGAUUUCAAAAUUUGAUAGAACCAAUAGGUGUGAGUCUAAUGAGUGUGUUUUCUCAUUACUCGUUUCUACUGCAUUUUCUCUCAUUAUGCAAAUGGGUUCUAAAUUUUAACUAAAUGUAUAGAUUUUUAUGUUUUGAUCUUGCUUUAACGGUGAUUUGAAAUACUUGUGUUUGCAAUCAUUUUGAAGAUAAAAUAGUUAUC